rnacentral:sRNA from 1 species
UUCAAACCAAAGAAGCAGCAGGUGGGU